UACGUAGGGCGCAAGCGUUGUCCGGAAUUAUUGGGCGUAAAGAGCUCGUAGGCGGCGUGUUGCGUCGGUUGUGAAAGCCCGGGGCUUAACUCCGGGUCUGCAGUCGAUACGGGCAUGCUUGAGUUCGGUAGGGGAGAUCGGAAUUCCUGGUGUAGCGGUGAAAUGACGCAGAUAUCAGGAGGAACACCGGUGGCGAAGGCGGAUCUCUGGGCCGGUACUGACGCUGAGGAGCGAAAGCGUGGGUAGCAAACAGG
rnacentral:rRNA from 1 species